CACCUCCAGCACCCUCAAUUACUCCUCACAGGAUUUGCACUCCAGAGCCUUCACAAGCUCUGUUGCCAUGCUCUGGACUCACUCCAGCUCCUCAAUAUCUUUCUUGUCAUGAAGGGCCCAGAACUGAAGACAGGACUCGAGAUGUGGCCUCACCAAUGUCCAGUACAGGGUAAUCGUGCACUGUAUUAGAAUUGUUUAGCAACACACGUAUGUUACCACUUUGUGGUUUCUGUGCUUGUAAAGUCUUUCAGCUGCAUUUCAGAGUGAGAGCCAAAUAUACUACAGCUUUGUUUUGCCUUCAAAACAAACUUCAAAGUUCAGCAUUAGGGUUUAAGGGAACAACAGCAGAGUAUAUAGCAUGUCAAAUACUUUGGUACCCACUGAAAGUUAAAGCAAGAAUUAGAAAAUUGAAGUGAUGAAAUGCAAAGAUUCCAAAGACUCACCAAAUCCUUGCUGAGAGGGUCCUCUCAGGGAGAGAUACAGCUGCACCCCAGGUUGUUGCUGCUCACUAUCAUCUCUCUGGGUGAAGCAGUACUGCUGUUCUUGCUCUGUGCUUGUGUUCUCACAGAAGAGGAGCUCAGGGUGGGGAGGAGGACCCCUCUGUGCAACACCUAUGCAGGUAAGCCAGGAUUAGCAGUGCUGAAGAGGAACAAAAUAUAAUUGAUGUGAACUUAAAGGAUUUUGCCUCUGACUGUGCAUGAGAUGGAAUUGCCCUGGGAUUGAAUAAGAGGUGUGUAGCAAAGGAGCCAUUUGUCUGCAGGUUUCAGAUUUCAUUUCUUUCUGGAGUGUGAAUAAAGUUGAUUGGUAUCUAACAACACUUCAUGUGGGGAAAAAUACAUUUGGGUUUUGAUGUGGCUUUUAAAAAUUUUCUUCUUGAAUGGGUAUUAGAAUUAUGGGGAUUUUUUUGCUUCCUUGAUGGCUGAUGCAUAAACUGAUUAUGACAAGACCCUUAAAGUCCUGUGCCAUUAGGUCAAGCCUCCCUUUCCCUGCCUGGCUCUUAAGGAGGUGGAGAAGGCUAGAGGGGAGGCAGAUGGCAGCACGCACAGACAGGGAAGAAAAUGGUCUGAUUUUGGGUGAGCUAUUGAAGAAGGACUGUUUAAGCUUCUGCAGCUUAUCUGCAUCCUAAAUAGUUGUUGUAAUAUGUUUAUUUAAUUCUGUUGAAAUUUUUAGUAUUUUGUCUGUUGGUAUGUUCCUGGUUUCCCCCCAUUGAUUACUUUGAUAGGUUCCAGUUGUCUGUCAUGUAAACCCCUCCUAGUUUUCUUGAAUGUUCCUCAUCAAUCACCUUAACCCUGCCCCAACUCCCCAUCCAUCAUUGUAAACCCCACCUCUCCUUCCAGAUCCUUCCAUGUAUGUCCAUUCCUUGACACUUUAUUGGUUGAUAUGUUACAGUCCUGCCUUCUUUGUAUCCCCAUUGGUCCCUGGGAUUGUAACCUCCUCCCCUUACCCCUCCCACCGUGAGCUCCCAUUGGACUCUGGACUUUACCCUCCCCUUGGAUAAAACCCAGUGCACAAAAGUGCUCAGGGUUCUCUUUCGUCCUGAACUUUUCCAGCCCAGAGCCUCAUGUUCCUCCCCUCUCCUUAAUAAAGCUGUUCCUGGGAACUUCUACCAA